UAUUUUCACUACAAUGUAUUUCUUAGC
rnacentral:piRNA from 1 species